GAUUCUGGCUCAGGAUGAACGCUAGCGACAGGCUUAACACAUGCAAGUCGAGGGGCAGCAUAAAAGUAGCAAUACUUGGUGGCGACCGGCGCACGGGUGAGUAACGCGUAUGCAACCUACCUAUCAGAGGGGAAUAACCCGGCGAAAGUCGGACUAAUACCGCAUAAAACAGGGGCACCGCAUGGUGAUAUUUGUUAAAGAAAUUCGCUGAUAGAUGGGCAUGCGUUCCAUUAGGUAGUUGGUGAGGUAACGGCUCACCAAGCCGACGAUGGAUAGGGGAACUGAGAGGUUGGUCCCCCACACUGGUACUGAGACACGGACCAGACUCCUACGGGAGGCAGCAGUGAGGAAUAUUGGUCAAUGGGCGGGAGCCUGAACCAGCCAAGUCGCGUGAAGGAAGAAGGAUCUAUGGUUCGUAAACUUCUUUUGCAGGGGAAUAAAGUGCAGGACGUGUCCUGUUUUGUAUGUACCCUGAGAAUAAGGAUCGGCUAACUCCGUGCCAGCCGCGGC
rnacentral:rRNA from 1 species